rnacentral:lncRNA from 1 species
AGUAGGUAGGGUAGGGUGGUAGCCAAUGAACCGCGUGUACACUAUGAACCAUAGUACCUACCGGCCAUACCUAACGUUGCUAGCUCGCGCAAAAAUUAUGUCGAGACUCCCUUGCCACGUCAAGAAGUUUGGUCUAUUCGCCGGGGGUCUGUCGCGAUAUACUCACCUGUGAGCCGCGUCUUAGUCUUCUACUCAAGCAAAAACGACAAAAAAAGCAUGGGGCGAAACACGGUAGGGAGGAAAGCACGUAAAAAAGGGUAUCACACCGCGGAAGCUACACAAAGAGGUAUAGAAAAAACACUUGUCGGGAUUAAGCAUUCUAAAAGCAGCAAAAACUGCAACCUUCUCUAUCCAGUAUUGCGACAGACGAAGUGUUUGUGCGGAGAUAUGUCACAAACAAAGUACCUACAGGAACAAUCCGUCUUGUAGACUAGAGCCCCAUUAUGAUGCAAGUAAAUUUCUUACUGCCCAACAUGAAGACAGCAUAAAGAAAUGUUGAUUGUUACAAUUUGUGAUUUGGACAAUAAAAAAACAUAAGUCUGAAUGUGAUAAAAACACGUCGACUUUAUAAUGCUAAGAGCAUUUUAAUUAAUAUAAAUAUACAAGUACAAAAUGUUUUUUCUUUUUUCCCGGAAAGAGUUUGUGCGUAACUUUUAAGAUGUUCAUAAUUAUUGUUAAAAAUUAAGUUUUAAGGCUGAUUUGUUGGUUCUUAAACGUAUGUAUAACCCGAAACUUAAUAAUUAUAAAAAGUUAUAAAUAG